rnacentral:rRNA from 1 species
CAGGAUGAACGCUAGCUACAGGCUUAACACAUGCAAGUCGAGGGGCAGCAUGAGAUUAGCUUGCUAAUCUUGAUGGCGACCGGCGCACGGGUGAGUAACGCGUAUCCAACCUUCCCCUUAGUAGGGCAUAGCCCGGCGAAAGUCGGAUUAAUACCCUAUGUUCUUCGUAGAGGACAUCUGAAAUGAAGCAAAGACUUGUCGCUAAGGGAUGGGGAUGCGUCUGACUAGGUUGUUGGCGGGGUAACGGCCCACCAAGCCGACGAUCAGUAGGGGUUCUGAGAGGAAGGUCCCCCCACAUUGGAACUGAGACACGGUCCAAACUCCUACGGGAGGCAGCAGUGAGGAAUAUUGGUCAAUGGGCGAGAGCCUGAACCAGCCAAGUAGCCGUGCAGGAUGACGGCCCUAUGGGUUGCAAACUGCUUUUAUGCGGGGAUAAAGUGAGGGACGUGUCCCUUUUUGUAGGUACCGCAUGAAUAAGGACCGGCUAAUUCCGUGCCAGCCGCCGC